UAUUCAUUUUACAAUCGCAUUGUCAACUUCAAAAACAAGCUCAACAAAGUGCUGCUGAGAUCUGUUUCAAUAAUGGAAUGGCCUUAAUCGGGGUCUCUCAUCAUUAGGAAUGAUGCUUAUGUGUGUUAGUCUGGUGUAAGAUCACUACCAAGAUAUUCCUGAGGUGUUAUUCCAAAGAGGCCAGAUUUUUCACUGGCACAUGUACUGUGGUCAGGUGUAAGGCAAAAUCACAUUGCCUCCUGAUGCCAAGUUCCCUUUCUUCCUAAAUAAUGGAAGCCCGCUUUGAUGUGAAGCAACUUUGGAUAUGGCUUCUUAUGGCAACGCAAGUUCUAGCUGGAACAUUAUACAAAAGCGUACAUUUUCCUAGACUUCAUAGAUCUUAGUCCGUUCACAAAGAGGAAUGGAAACACAAGGAAUAAAUUUUUAGGGUUCUGCUCUCAAAUAUUCCCCUAAUUUUUAAGAGGCUGGAGCCAGUCACGGAUACAAGUAAAACACAUUUUUCCCC